rnacentral:rRNA from 1 species
GAUCAUGGCUCAGGAUGAACGCUAGCUACAGGCUUAACACAUGCAAGUCGAGGGGAAAUGACAGUAAAGCUUGCUUUAUUGGGCGUCGACCGGCGCACGGGUGCGUAACGCGUAUCCAACCUGCCCCCAACUCCGGAAUAGUCCCCCGAAAGGGGGGGUAACGCCGGAUGCUGCAAUUUUUCCGCAUGGUGAAAUUGCGAAAUGAAAAAGGUUGGGGCUGGGGAUGCGUCCCAUUAGGUAGUAGGCGGGGUAACGGCCCACCUAGCCGACG